GCUACUUUGGCGUAAUUGGCAGGCGCAGCAGACUUAAGAUCUGCUUCCGAUACGGAGUCUGGGUUCGAGUCCCAGAAGUAGUA
rnacentral:tRNA from 1 species